CUGUCCUUUUUCAAUUGUUUUUCUUCUAAAACGCAGCAAACUUUCCUUUUAAACUUAAGUAUGCUAUCAGCCCAUUCCCUUAGGGCUUCAUUUAGCAUGCUGCCACUGACAAUAUAAUUAUUGGAGCCAUGAAAUCAAUUUACAGCUUCAAGAUCUCUCCUCUGACUUCGAUUUCAACGAAGCAAAGAAGUAUCCAUGGCGAAAUUGCAAAGUUCUAUGGGAGCACGGGACUACUGUACAGUGGAGAAGGCCAUGCAGCUCAAGAGCUUAGAGGACCAAAGUUGGAUAAGGGGAAGGAAAAAGUGAGCGAAUAGCCGUCGAAAUCGUUCGACAACAUCCGAGAUUUUGUUCGUUAGCCAUCGGAUUCGGGAUCAUCAAAGUCGAAGUCAUCCACACUAUCAAAGCCCCUUUUGGUACUCUUUUAGUUGAACUCUGGAUAUGGCAUGUAUAGGACUACCCUUUUUGUUGUUGGUCAUGUACCCAUGGAUUUUGUGUAAAUUUGGAUAGCCAUGCGAAAAUGGCUUAUAUACGUUUUUAGCAUAGUACUAUAAUCGUUUUGUAUGUUGAUCACUAAGAGGUAUGGAAAUUUUUGGAAACGAUUAGCCAUUGGAAUGGUUAAUCAUGAUUAUACUUUGUGCUAUGUAUGCAAAAAGGGCUAAUUGAAUCA